rnacentral:rRNA from 1 species
AUCUUGAUUUGCAAACUUUAUUUAGCGAGGAACAAUUGGAGGGCAAGUCUGGUGCCAGCAGCCGCGGUAAUUCCAGCUCCAAUAGUGUAUAUUAAUGUUCCUGCAGUUAUUCGAUGCUCGUAGUUGGAUUUCUGGGGGCUGAGAUUGGAAGGUGGCCAAGGUCACCGCCGAACUCUUCCUUCAUCCACCUGUUAACGUUGUCCGGGAUUUGUUUCUCGGCUUCAGGCUCAGGUAUUUUACCCUUUCUAUAUAUUCAUUUAUUUAUCUUCUUUUUGAGUAAAUUAUAGUGUUUCAGGCAGGCGUGCGCCGGAAUACUUCAGCAUGGAAUAAUCGAAUUGGACCGUGUAUUCUUAUAGAAUUCUUCCUUAUUUGUUGGUUUCAAGGACACGGAAAUGGUUAAUAGGGAUAGUGUUUUCAGGGGAGGCAUUAGUAUUUAAUUUCCAGAGGUGAAAUUCUUUGAAAUAUUAAAGACUAACUUAUGCGAAAGCAUUUAUUUUGCCAAUAAUGUUUUCAUUAAUCAUUGAACGAAAGUUAGGGGAUCAAAGACGAUCAGAUACCGUCCUAGUCUUAACCAUAAACGUUGCCGACUAGGGAUCGGAGGGCGUGCACAUUCCGCCUUCGGCACCUUACGAGAAAUCAAAGUCUUUUGGGUUCUGGGGGUAGUAUGGUCGCAAGGCUGAAACUUAAAGGAAUUGACGGAAGGGCACCACCAGGAGUGGAGCUUGCGGCUCAAUUUGACUCAACACGGGAAAUCUUACCAGGUCCAGACAUAGCGAGGAUUGACAGAUUGAUAGCUCUUUCUUGAUCCUAUGGGUAUUUAUUUUAAUUUUGGUGGUGCAUGGCCGUUCUUAGUUGGUGGAGUGAUUUGUCUGGUUAAUUCCGUUAAACGAACGAGACCUCAGCCUGCUAAAUAGUUACCUGUCUUUCUUUUACGAGACUUGAUAACUUCUUAGAGGGACGUUGUGUGCAACCACAAGGAAGUUGAGGCAAUAACAGGUCUGUGAUGCCCUUAGAUGUCCUGGGCCGCACGCGUGCUACACUGAUACGUACAACAAGGUAUAUGCAUUUAUGCAUCGAUGCUGCUCCGAAAUAGACACAGCUAAAUCUUCUAAAAUACGUAUCGUGCUGCGGAUAGAUCGUUGAAAUUAUGGAUCUUGAAGGUGGAAUUCCUAGUAAGCGCGGGUCAUCAACCCGCGUUGAUUACGUCCCUGCCCUUUGUACACACCGCCCGUCGCUCCUACCAAUUUCGAGUGGCUCGGUGAACCUCUUUGGACUGUCGAGCAAUCGCGAAAUUAGAGUGAACCUGGUCAC